CCUACGGGUGGCUGCAGUGGGGAAUAUUGGACAAUGGGGGCAACCCUGAUCCAGCCAUGCCGCGUGUGUGAAGAAGGCCCUCGGGUUGUAAAGCACUUUCAGUGAGGAAGAACGCCUGGUGGUUAAUACCCAUCAGGAAAGACAUCACUCACAGAAGAAGCACCGGCUAACUCCGUGCCAGCAGCCGCGGUAAUACGGAGGGUGCGAGCGUUAAUCGGAAUUACUGGGCGUAAAGCGCGCGUAGGUGGCUUGAUAAGCCGGUUGUGAAAGCCCCGGGCUCAACCUGGGAACGGCAUCCGGAACUGUCAAGCUAGAGUGCAGGAGAGGAAGGUAGAAUUCCCGGUGUAGCGGUGAAAUGCGUAGAGAUCGGGAGGAAUACCAGUGGCGAAGGCGGCCUUCUGGACUGACACUGCCACUGAGGUGCGAAAGCGUGGGUAGCAAACAGGAUUAGAUACCCUUGUAGUC
rnacentral:rRNA from 1 species